rnacentral:lncRNA from 1 species
UUUAGUUAAACAUAACAUACCCCAAAUCCCAACAGUUUGAAGUUUAUUAGAGGAAAACCAAUUUUAGAGACAAGGACCAUAGAUUUUCCCACACCAGCUGCAGCAUUUUACUCCCUUCUGGCAAAGCAGUUAUUUAGGAUGGAAGGAGUCAAAAAUGUCUUCUUUAGCCCAGAUUUCAUUGCUUUCACAAGUGAAAGUGAAGAUGUAGACUGACAUUUAAUGAAGCCAGAUAUUUAUGCAACAAUUUUGGACUUCUUUGCACCUGGUUUAUCCUUAGUUUCUGAGGAAGCAUCUUCAGGAGAAGAAGGAUCUGGAAAAAAACUUAUGGUAAAAAUAAGAAAUUGUUAGAAACUAGAAUAUGGCCAACUCUGGAGAAGAUAAAGGAGAAAUGGCCUGUAGAGGAUUUGAGAAUGGUGUUGUACAGCUGAAAUGCCAAGGUUCUUUACUAGCUGUCCUGGUCCAAUCAUUG